UCUCUCUCUCUCUCUCAAUAAAUAUCUAGGGUUUUAUUAAAUUCCUCUUCUCUCUAUGCCUGCGGAAUCUUAACUUCUCAAAUUCUCAAUUCCGUACACUAGAAUUGUGAGCCGGCCAAUGGAGGAAGGGACUAGUGGUGGUGGUGGAGGGGAAUCGUCGUCGAGGGUAACGCCGUCGUAUGUGAAGUUAGGAGACAGGCAAAUAUUCACUGUGGAGCUUCGACCCGGAGAGACAACAUUUGUGUCAUGGAAGAAGCUCAUGAAAGACGCAAACAAGGUUAAUAGUGGAUCCGCACCAGCUUUGGACCCACCUCCCGCCAACGCUCACCUCAACCUUGAGUCUCGCCUCGUUCCUGGACAACCAGCUGAAAAUGAAGAGAAGGAUGCACCUCCUCCAAAUCGUUUCAGUGCUGUGAUUGAGAAGAUUGAACGUCUUUACAUGGGGAAGGAUAGCAGUGAUGAGGAAGAUCUAAAGGACGUUCCUGAUGAUGAUCAGUAUGAUACAGAUGAUUCCUUUAUCGAUGAUGCUGAGCUGGAUGAAUAUUUUGAAGUGGAUAAUUCAGCAAUAAAACACAAUGGAUUCUUUGUUAACAGGGGAAAGCUGGAACGAAUAAAUGAACCUAUCGUUGUGCCUAACCAGCAAGCAAAGAAAAGACGAAGAAAGGAUUUAACCAAGGCCCCUGGUGAGAGUGAUGAUGUUCAUACAUCAAAUAAACAAGUUAAGCUGGGUAAAUCAGUGGCUGGAAAGAUAGCAUCACCACUUGGAAAGAACCCUUCAAAUCCCUCUCAAAAUUUGGUUGUGACAAAUGAACACUGUGAGGAUGUGAGGUCUCAGAGUCUAUCAUAUACAGCUGGAAUUUCUUCUAAGAAGAAAUCUGCUGAAACUAAAAUGAAUUUGGAUCCAUCUUCAUCAAUAAAAACUUCAAAUGGUGAUGCCUCUGUAUCUCUAGCUGAGGCUAAGGAUAUAGAAAAGCUAAAAGCUGGAGGACUCCUAGCGAAGAACCUGACAAAUAAAUCGAAAGAUGCAGGUGGAACUUUGGAUGUUUCUCAUCAGAAAUAUCAUGAUAAAAGUGCUUACUCACAAUCCAAGUUGCAAUCUGCAAAGUCAAUAACCAGUGUUGAUGAACUUGAACCAGCAGUUAGAUCAAAAGAAAAGAAUGGAGUCCGUGAGCUGCCUGAUCUUAAUAUGCCAGAUGCUAAGAUGUCCAUGCAAGUAACAAAACCUUCACAUGUUCACAAAAAGGAUGGUUCUAGUGCUAGGCCCAAAAGUUCAAUGCUGGAGAAUGCCAUCAGGGAAUUGGAGAAGAUGGUUGCUGAAUCAAGGCCCCCAGCUCUAGAAAGUCAAGAGGCUGAUACCUCAUCCCAGGCAAUCAAGAGGAGAUUGCCCAGCGAAAUAAAGCAGAAGCUUGCUAAAGUUGCUAGACUAGCGCAGGCAAGCCAAGGGAAAGUAUCAAAGGAGUUACUCAAUCGCCUUAUGAGCAUUCUUGGUCACUUAAUACAGCUCAGAACACUCAAGGUACCUUUUUGUAGAAAAAUGAAGAUAUAAUUCUCCACUGCUUUUACAUCAGUUCUCUUUCUCUCUCUCUCUACUGUCUGAAUUCUCAUAUUCCUUCAACCAGCUGGAUGUAGUUGGUUCUUUUGGAUAUAGCAUUUUAUUUGCACUUUGCAAUUUGAUAGUUCUCUUUAUUUUUUCUUCCUUACUCUUUUGGAUGUACAAGUGCAUUUUUGGCAAUUCUCUUUAUUUUGUUUCCUUUCUUAUUUUCUUUACCAAAGAGUGUAGAAUGGAAUCUGGAAACCAGUUCAAGUAACAGUUUUUACUGACAAUGAAAUGAUCUUAAAUGUUUUCUAUGAGAAUCUUUGACAAUGGGCUAUUGAUUUGUCUCACAUUAUUUUUCAAAAUUUUGAACUCAUUAAGAUAAUUGUUCGAGUAAAAUGAGCAAUAUUAAGGUAAUUGUUUGUAUAACUCUAAUUUCAGCUUAUUUGUAUAUUGGCUCUUGAAUCACAUAACCCAAUCUUCUGAUAUUUGGAUGAUGUUACUGUGGUCUAUUAGACAAAUUAUGUUUCUGUAACAGAAUUGUGAUGGUCUUAAUGAAACAUUAGAAAUGUUGUUCGUUUAAUUGAAAAUGAAGUUCUUAUCAUUGAUGUUGCGUUUUAUUCAUUGAAAAUAAAGUUUUAUUGUUGGUAUUAUUUUUAGUUCAUUGUACUGUGCAUGUGUAAUGAAUUUUCCUGUGUUUGUGGCUUAUAUAAAAUAUUUUACCAUAACAUGAGGCUAUCUGUUUUUGUUGCAGAGAAACUUAAAAGUAAUGAUUAACAUGAGCUUGUCUGCAAAGCAGGAGAAAGAUGAUAAGUUCCAACAAAUAAAGAAAGAAGUUGCUGAGAUGAUUAAGAUAUGUGUCCCAUCUUCAGAGUCCAAGGUUGGUUGAAUCUUAUCCUUCUCUCUCUUUCUGUCUCUCACAGUGGUAUUGGCAUUGAAGAGAGUAGUUGUUCAGGACCUUCAGGUAAAAUUUAACUGGAAAUCAAUGGUGGAUGAAACCACACCCUCCUCCCCUGCGGCCCCCCCCUCCCGUCCUUCUCUCUCCUUCCUUUUUUUCAUUUUGGUCAUUCUUUUUCUGUCUAAUGCUUCAGUUGGAAUCGGCUUUGUUAGAGAGCUUUUUGGUUCUGAUGAGUUCAGUGAUCUACCUGAAUGUUUUUCUUUAUUCUGAUGAUUUUGGUGAGCUAACUGAUUUGUUAAGCUGACAGCCUUUUGGUUUCUGUCUUGAUCUGAGUUUUUCUGUAGCCAUCAGUGUCUGGUGCUUAUGAACUAUCUUAAAUGUUGAAGGGCUGAUUCUGUACCACAUGCUGAUCCAUUUAUUAGUUUUGAAUCUUAAUAUAACUGAUAAGAAGUUAAUUGAUUAUUAUUGGCAUCUCAGUUAUGAAAGUCUGAAUUAUUUAUCAUCAUUUUCCCAGACAUUGGAGCAACAAGCUGGAGCAUCUGAUGACUUUCAAGAAAUUGCUUCUGAGGAAAAAGGAGCCACUAAAAGAAAAUUUAGCAUGGAUGCUGUUUUGGAGGACAAAAUUUGUGAUCUUUAUGACCUCUUUGUUGAUGUACCAAUGCCCAUUCUUGAAAAAUUCUUAUUUAUCUGUUGGGAAAUUUAUUUUCAUAAUUAUCUCAUUCUUUAACCUUUGCCUGUUGAUGAUUUUAGGGACUGGAUGAAGAUGCUGGCCCACCAGUCAGAAAGUUGUAUCUAGAGGUAUGUUUUGUUUUUCUUAGUAUCUUACGAGUUGAUAAAUUGAAAUGGAAUGGUGCGAGUGACUCCUUCCUCUUGUCCUCUCCAUGCUGAAACUUUUGUUACUAAUUUAUUGUUGCUAUUGUUCAGAUGUGGUCCAAGCUUUGUCUUUCUCUCCCACUCACUUAGUCUGACCAGUCUGUGUUAUUCUAUUAAAGCCAUUUUCCCUUUAAGGCCCACCAAUUACCUAGUUCUUUGCCCUUCUUCCUUUCCUACUUCCAGAAAGGAGAAAAAAAAGUUCAAAUGUUCUUAAUUUUUUGAUAUGCAUCCAUGAUUCAGCUUGCACAAUUGUGGCCAAGGGGUUUCAUGGACAAUCAUGGGAUCAAGCGUGCAAUUUGUAGGGCAAAAGAGAGACGGAGGUCCUUGUACAGCAGACAUAAGGAUCAGGAAAAGAUUAAGAGAAAAAAGAUGUUGGCAUCUAGAUUGGAUGAGACCGCUCGAGUUGAGGCUGGUUCAGUCGCUCAGCAACAAUAUAUGCGAGAGAGGUUGCCUACUGAUACAAGUGGUCCUGUUUUGGCUUUAGCUAUCAAGCCAGUGCCUAAUUCAUCAACGGCAGCUGUUCGAGCACCAAGUCCUUCAAUGAACGCACCAAACUUGGACAGGCUAAAACAAGAGAAGCCAAAAGGAAGUUCAAGCAGUCCCAUUGACGAGGCAAAGAUGGUAGUAGAUGGUGCAUUGACAAAGAAAAAGGUAAAGAGGAAGUCUGAACAGGAAUUGAAUGAGACUCAUUUUCGGUCUGAGAAAUUGCAAUCCCAAUCUAGUGAAGAAAAACACAAGUCCCUUAAGCAAGCUUCGGUUCUUCCCCAAAAGCUAAACCUUCAGUUUACCACUUCGAGUUUCGAACAGUCUAGCUGACGUAAUAUAGUUGAUUAGGAAGUUUACACCACAUAAGUAAUUGUGUAACAAAGUCUUUCUCCUUUCUUUUUUCUUCAGCAGCCUUUAUUAAUUCUGACCAGCCGAUUGCUACCAUUUUUGUAAUUAAGUGUUGAAUGGUGCGUUGUUAUUUAGAGUUUCGACUUGAAAUAGGAGGUGGCAGAAUGCUGUAUUUUCUUAAGCGAUUAAUGCGUCAAAGACGUGUAACUUUCAACCUUGGUUGUUUUUGGGGUAAUUUUUAUAGUUCG
rnacentral:misc_RNA from 1 species